UGGGGAAUAUUGGACAAUGGGGGGAACCCUGAUCCAGCCAUGCCGCGUGUGUGAAGAAGUCCUUAUGGUUGUAAAGCACUUUAAGCGAGGAGGAGGGUACUGGUAUUAAUACUACCAGGUACUGGACGUUACUCGCAGAAUAAGCACCGGCUAACUCUGUGCCAGCAGCCGCGGUAAUACAGAGGGUGCGAGCGUUAAUCGGAUUUACUGGGCGUAAAGCGUGCGUAGGCGGCUAAUUGAGUCGGAUGUGAAAUCCCCGAGCUUAACUUGGGAAUUGCAUUCGAUACUGGUUAGCUAGAGUGUGGGAGAGGAUGGUAGAAUUCCAGGUGUAGCGGUGAAAUGCGUAGAGAUCUGGAGGAAUACCGAUGGCGAAGGCAGCCAUCUGGCCUAACACUGACGCUGAGGUACGAAAGCAUGGGGAGCAAACAGG
rnacentral:rRNA from 1 species